rnacentral:rRNA from 1 species
GAUGAACGCUAGCGGGAGGCCUAACACAUGCAAGCCGAGCGGUAUUUGUUCUUCGGAACAGAGAGAGCGGCGCACGGGUGCGGAACACGUGUGCAACCUGCCUUUAUCUGGGGGAUAGCCUUUCGAAAGGAAGAUUAAUACCCCAUAAUAUAUUGAGUGGCAUCAUUUGAUAUUGAAAACUCCGGUGGAUAGAGAUGGGCACGCGCAAGAUUAGAUAGUUGGUGAGGUAACGGCUCACCAAGUCAAUGAUCUUUAGGGGGCCUGAGAGGGUGAUCCCCCACACUGGUACUGAGACACGGACCAGACUCCUACGGGAGGCAGCAGUGAGGAAUAUUGGACAAUGGGUUAGCGCCUGAUCCAGCCAUCACGCGUGAAGGACGACGGCCCUAUGGGUUGUAAACUUCUUUUGUAUAGGGAUAAACCUACUCUCGUGAGAGUAGCUGAAGGUACUAUACGAAUAAGCACCGGCUAACUCCGUG